rnacentral:rRNA from 1 species
UACGGAUGGUUCAAGCUUUACUCGGAAUCACUGGGCGUAAAGGAUGCGUAGGCUGGAAAUCAAGUCGAGAGUGAAAUCCAACGGCUCAACCGUUGAACUGCUCUCGAAACUGGUUACCUAGAAUAUGGGAGAGGUAGAUGGAAUUAGUGGUGGAGGGGUAAAAUCCGUAGAUAUCACUAGGAAUACCGAUUGCGAAGGCGAUCUACUGGAACAUUAUUGACGCUGAGGCAUGACAGCGGGGGGAGAAAACAGGAUUAGAUAACACCGUAGUCC